UAUAUUCAAACACAGGACACUUCCAUUCAAAAACACCUAGGAGUCUCUCCCCAUCCCUGCUGGGCUAUCAGAGGAGGCCUUGUGAAGAGUCAGGACUCUCAUCACUACCAAUGGUUGCAAGCCCCAUGUCAGAGGGACCACAUGGGAUCUGGAACUCCCAUUCUUAUCCAACAAUAAGGAGGAGCCAGUCCAACGUCCAGAAAGAUGGGACCACUUUUCUCUUACACUUCCUAUCAACAACCCCAUAACCAGGGAAAGGACAGAGGGAUGAGAAUCCAAAAGAAUGUUCUACCUCUGGGUUUUACUCUGCUUGGAACAAACUCUUCUGCAUCAACAUACAUCUGAGUUGUAAAGAUCUAUCUCACAACUUCCUGGAAGAAUAUUUUCGGAUCUUCCCCAGCACGCAUAACAGCUCCUUCUUUUGGACUUCAAAAUGCAAAAAGAAUUACGAGUGGUACAUGUUGGCAGAUAUGCGGAUCCUUAAGUCAAGACAUUAAAAAAGAGGUCCGUUCGUUAGCCAUCAUUUUAUUCUUAACCUCAAGCAGAGUCUUCAGUCUACUCCUCUGGGCCUCCCCAACACAGCAUGCCUGAGGCUUUUACAGACUAGAGAACUUCUGCAAAAACUGCUUGGCAAGAACAUGCAGAUGGAAACAAAGGAUAUUCCUAGUUACCUUUUCUGUGUUGGGCUGACAGUUCUGGGAAGUAAUUUGUAAGGAUAUUUGAAUGAUUGGAACCAGAGCAGAAGCACAGAAGUCCUGAAGUCAACAAGGGGUUGAAAAACCCUCACUAUAGGGAGCUCAGGCAGCUCCAAAAGGGGCUGGAGGAAAGAAGUUUUCAGCAGGAGGCUGGCCAUGUGGGUGUUGGGAAGGUGGGCAACUUGGACCAGAGACCUUCCCUAUCAUUUCUCACCAGAGAGAGCUCAUCCUACAGCCCAGUCACACAGAUCAGUUCUGUGUCAAUUCACUAAGAUUCACUACAUCCUGCUGCACACCUGAAAGGUGAAAAGCCCUAAACCGGGCACACACUUAUCUUGAUGACAACAGAGAGGCCCUUCCAAAUGAGCCCUGCUAAAUGUCCCAUAGGAGACCACAACUGUCUUACUCUAAUGCAAUGAAAGUCAAUCUAUUUCUUCCAAAGGCUAUACAAAUAUUUGAUUCAAAUUACGUUUUUA